rnacentral:rRNA from 1 species
GACGAACCGAGCGAACGUUGUUCGGAAUCACUGGGCUUAGAGGGCGCGUAGGCGGGUGCUCAAGUCUGUGGUGAGAUCCUCCGGCUCAACCGGAGAACUGCCAUGGAUACUGGGUGCCUCGAGGGUGGUAGGGGUAUGCGGAACUAUCGGUGGAGCGGUGAAAUGCGUUGAUAUCGAUAGGAACUCCGGUGGCGAAGGCGGCAUACUGGACCACUUCUGACGCUGAGGCGCGAAAGCCAGGGGAGCGAACGGG